rnacentral:rRNA from 1 species
UACGUAGGGGGCGAGCGUUAUCCGGAUUCACUGGGCGUAAAGGGAGCGCAGGCGGCACGGCAAGUCCGGUGUGAAAGCCCGGGGCCCAACCCCGGGACUGCACUGGAAACUGCCGGGCUGGAGUGUCGGAGUGGCAGGCGGAAUUCCUAGUGUAGCGGUGGAAUGCGUAGAUAUUAGGAGGAACACCGGUGGCGAAGGCGGCCUGCUGGACGACGACUGACGCUGAGGCUCGAAAGCGUGGGGAGCAAACAGG